rnacentral:tRNA from 1 species
GCGCCCGUAGCUCAAUAGGAUAGAGCAUCGGACUUCUAAUCCGAGGGUUGUGGGUUCGAUUCCCGCCGGGCGCACCA